rnacentral:lncRNA from 1 species
GGAAGAUGUCACUUUCUCCGCGGACAGGCGUCGCUUCCAGCUCUGACAGGAGCUGCGGCUCGGAAGGUGAGAGGUCCCGGCGCUGGAAGAGCUGCUGUGGCUUCUGACCUGUGGGCCCUUCCUCACUUUCCCCGUGAAUUCUCCGCCGUGUCUGUCUCCCAGUGUCCGGGGUCCCACCGAGUAUACAGUAGGAUGUCCACAGCUGCUUCCUUCUCCCCAGGUCUAACCCCCAAAGCCCAGAGAUUUCUGGAUCCAAUCUUCCUUCCCGGCACCCCCAAUCUCAGCCCGUGUUCACCUCCCCCGCCCCAGUUUUGGCUUCUCUGGCCCCUCUGCUUCUUCCACCUCCUUCCUUCUCCUCUCCCUGCCUCCUGCUGGACCCCCUCCGCAACCUCUGUGGCCCCUUGGAGCCUGCCUCCUAGGCCCCUUCAGGUCUUGCGAUAUCACAACCCAGUGUGAGGAUCAGUUGGAACGAGAGGAAGCUCCUUGGACUCCAGAGGGAGAAGGUUCCCCCAGGGCAGCUGGGGGUGGUGGUGAUUGCGUUACUAGCCCUGAAAGCAAGGAGCCAUUUCCCAAGCAGGACACUUCUAUGGAACAGUCACCCCUGGAGACCCACUCAUGGAGUGAUUUGUCUCUAACCUAAGAGAAGCCUGGGAAUAUGUGGUGUUGACUUAGAGAAGCUGCAUAUCAAGGAAGACAAAUGUUCUCGGAAGUUCAAGGUCGGCCAGAGAAAUACUUCUGAUCAAGUGGAUGGGUAUGAAUGUAGGAAAAAUGAUAGAAGGGCUAGUCUAGGGCCUUUCCUUUUUCUAUGGCAGAGUGCAUGUAAUACACAGAGAAAGAGCUUCAGUAUGUAUUCUAAACUCAGUCUCUGGAAUACAAGCUGUUUCAAGAAGAUCAUUUCUCAGUUAAUUGAAUGUGGGAAAGCCCUCAUCCAUAAUCAACCAUUAAUAGCCCUCAGGCAGGACACACUGGAGCUAAAUCUAUUUCCCAGAUAAUGCUACUUACUGAACGUCUGGGAAGCCAUGUAGGAGAGAAAUUAUGUGAACAUAAGCUUGGGAAGGUCUGCAACUGUGGUUUGUCUCUUAUGCCUUAUUACAGGACUCACGCUAGCACAAAGUUAUAUGAAUGCAAUGAUUGUGGGAAAGCUUUCACUCAGAGUUCAUCCCUUACUUUCCAUCUUUGGAUUCAUUCUGAAGAGAAACCAUUUGGAUGUGGUGACUCUGGGAAGGCAUUUUGCCUGAACAAACAGCUUGUUAGACAGCAGAAAAUUCAUACUGGAGAGAAGCAGCCUUAUGAAUGGGAAGACCUUUCUCCAGACUACAGAACUUAAUCAACAUGGGAGUAUUCAUGCUAGAGAAAAACUAUAUAAGUGUAAUGAAUAUGGGAAGAUCUUCACCGAAGUUCAUCUUUUCUUUCCCAUCAGGCAAGUCAGAAAGAGAGAGAGAGAGAGAGAGAGAGAGAGAAACUUUGAGUGUCAUGUGGAAAGGGUUUCUGCUUGAGAAAACAGUUUACUGGACACCAGACAAUUCAUUCUGGAGAGAAACGUAGAAAGGCCUUCACCUGCAACUCUUCCCUUUUUCCCAUCAUAGGAUCCAUACUGGAGAGAGACCUUCUGAAUGUAAUGAAUAUGGCAGAGCCUUUAGCUGGAGAAUUAAUGUAUCAUCCAGAAUUCACCCCAGAGAGAGACCUUAUGUAUGCCUUGAAUGGGGACAGGCUUUGGCCUGAGGGUGAGCUUACUCCAGCCUGGAGCAUUCACCUUGGACAGAAACCAUCUGAGUGUGGGAAGGCCCAACUCCUCCCUUAUUUCCCAGCUCAGGGUUCACACUAGACAGGAGCUGUUUGAAUGUUGGGGAGACUCUUUUCUCCAGAGUAUACAACUCCCUUGACAUCAGGUGACUCAUGUUUAAGGGAGAGCCUGCUGACUGUCAUGCAAGGAUGUUGGCCACUGCAGGGAAGGCAGAGACUCAGAGCAAGGGCCUUCUUCCUACUCUGCUGCAUGCGACUUCACUCAGCUGCCUCCGAUCCCUCUUGGGCUCCUUGGCUCCUAGGAGGCAGACCAUUUCCUCCACUCCUGCCUUCCCUGCUUGGACUUCCUCCUGGUGCUGCCCUCUUCUCUCUCCUUCCUGUUUCCUAUCAUGAUUGGGUGAGAAAACUGGCAGGGGCUCCCUGGCUGUCCUUAGUGCCAGCCUUCUGAUUCCAGACCACUCCACGGUGCUGAAUAAAUGUCCGCUGGCCUGGUGGGUUCUCCCUGGGGCCCAUCAUUUCUGUUAACCCUAAUGCUGCACUUCGUGCCAGUGUAAGACGUGUAAACAGCUGGCUUUUAAUUAAUGCGCCCCUAGAUGAGAAAGGCUUCAUAGCUGCCAACCUCUAGGCAGGGCAUGAAUGCUCAUACCUUUUUAAACCCUUGUCUUUGGACAGGAGGAUUGAGGGGAGGUAGGAAGGUAGGGGGAGACCACCACGCCCUCUACAGGCCUCUGCCUUGCUCCUUGUUCUCUGGGCAUGCGCAUCCUUGUGACCAGGUUGCUGAACUACAUUUCCCAGAUCAGCCAAAGAUUGGAGGAGGGGGUGGGGCCGUGUGAUGUCAUUUCUGCUCCUUGCUGCUUCCGCCAAGGCUUUUGAAGGCUGUCAAUUCCUGGGCUCUCUCCUCCUUGAGCUAGGAUGACUGGUAAGAAGAACACACCAAUGAGGGCUCACGAAUGCUGGCUGCACUUAUCUUGUGGUGGUUUUUCAUAACUCCACCUAGGAGAAGUCUGUUCACCUGCUGACCUGUACCAAUUGUGAUUAAUCUUAGUAGGCACCAUGACUUAGGAUGGCUGUUCAAUAAGAAGAACCAAAGGCAAUGAAUUAGAUGUAAGAAACUGGAAUAAAACACAAUUGUAACAUUUUAUAAUAUACCCUCCUGGUACAUUCAUGAUCUGGAUUCUAAUGCCAUUUCUUAAAACAGUAUCUGCAGUUAGAAACAUCUGUGGGUAAUCCAAACAUGCCUGUAUGGGUCUGAAACAUCAUGGAAUCCUAUAUCUGAGAUGUAAAAAUUUGUCCCAUCCUAAGUCCCAAGGAGACCCAUCCAGACACUGGAUAAUUUGGAGUCAUUCAACAAUCAGUUCCAAGUUUUCCCCAAACCAAUGGGCCCCCAAAUCCUCUGGGGGCAGGGGCAAUGAUCUCAUCUUCUGAAACUUCUUCCUGCUGAGAAUGGGCAUAGAGCUGAAUCACCUGCAGGGUCCCAUUCAUUUAUGGAGGGGGUGUAAGCUGGAACUGAGUGAAGCAUCCAAUGGUUGAUUCAAAUCCUUGAAGCUGGUUAAUGCAGCUGUAACUGACCAAUAUCUAGAAUAAAAAACAAAUCUAACAAAGGGGUUAGGCACAUCUGAGCUAGAAAGACAAGCCCACAAGGACUGCUAUAAGAUAUAUAGAGACCAAUAUAGAUUGGCCAGCAGCUUUUCAUGUAAAGAAAUGUAUUUGUGUCACAGGACACAAAGUACAUACAAAUAUUAAAGACGCUUUAGCUUUAGUUUCAAAAAUUAACAGAUCUCACACACGAUCUUGUUAAUUAUUCUCACAUUAUUUUGGAAAUCUUUAAGGACCUUAUUUCCUACUGACACAAACAUCUAAUAUCUGAUAGAUGACUAGGCCAAAUACUCAUUCACCAAUUAUUUAGAAUAUGAUGACUACAUAUUUUCGGAUCAGCAAGAUAUUGCAUAAUUGGGUUGUGCUUAUGGCUAAUAUUGACCUUUUGCUCUGAUUAUAGAAAUUUGCUAUAGGAGGAAAAUACAGGGAGAUGAUUAUAAUACCACCAAAACUGAUUCUUCAGGCCUCAGUCUGGGAGCACACACAUGACAGGAUAAAGCAUUAGCUCAGUUUGAUAUCCAACAACAGUUCCACUCUAUAGCCGGGCUCAGGAAUAAUCAAGUAGGUUCUUAUUCAAGGAGAGACAACUGGGAAACGAGUCAGAAGGAUCCCACCUUGAGUGGAGGCCAAGAUUGUCCUUUUAACUCUUGUUACAGGCUUCAACCUGUAACAGUUCAGGAUCACAUUUCUCUGAGUAGUUUAUCAUAUAUCUCUCAAAUGGUGGGUCACUGACUUAAUGAUCGGGAAAUCAAAUUCAAAACUCAAAAGAAUAUCAGUUACAGUCCCACGAGAUUUUAUCUCUAACAGCAAAUUCUAAUUAUUGCAGCUUAGGGUUAGAUUCAUUAUUAUUUUCUCAUUUUAUUUAUUUUAAAGCUUUUUACUUACAAAACAUAUGCAUGGGUAAUUUUUCAACACUGACCCUUGCAAAGCUACUUGUUCCAAAUUAUCCCCUCCUUCCUCCCCCCACCCCCACCCCAGAUGGCAGGUAGUACAAUACAUGUUAAAUGUGUUAAAUCCAAUAUAUGUAGAGACAUUAUUUUUUAAAGAGUUUACAGGAGUUAUACACAUAGGAGAUUUUAACUUGUUUUAUAUGUUUAAACUCAUUCUGGUGCAAAGGAUCAAUCAUUAUAUAGGCUUAUAGAUUUUUAGUAAACACAUUCCUUGUUCAGAAACUAUAUAUUCUAAACAAGCUCAUUUCUCAGGGCUGAUGACCUUGCUUACCCUGAUGGUUUCAAGAAAACUGGCAAGCUUAUAAACGAAGGGGAGUUGACACAGACCCCAGAGAAAGGACUGAGCUAGCUGUUGCCCACCCCAACUAUUUUAGCCUCUCUAUGGGCUGUGCUGUUUGAUAACUUUUCCCACUUUAUAAAGGUAAUGAUGAGGAUCAGUGCAGGGCAGAGAGUUGUGGGAACCCCUUCUGGUCAGCACAGGAACUUCGUAAAAGAAUUUACAAACCUGAAAAGUUAUUGGCAAAAAGAAGUUUAUUGGCACUAGAAGUUGGUCUUUGCUAGGAAGACUGACUUCCUUUGUGGCAAGGUCCCAACAGAGAGAGAGAUAAAGUUCCCAGCAGAGAAAUCUAGCCAAGAAAUCUCGACAGAGGUAGAGAGGUGUAGUCCUGUUAGGGAAAUGGAGUCUGGCACUGAGAAGAGAAUGCCUUCUCAGUGUGCAGGGUCCUGGUAGGCUGCUUGGGCCUCUGCAAAGAAGUGCCCCAAGUUGCCCCUUUUUCUAAUUUGAAACUUUGGUCAGAGGCUGGGGGCAGUUUGAGUUGAAAUUAGACCAAAAUCUUCAAAUUGAAUAGAAAUUUCAACAGAAUGAGAUUAAUGCCCCCAGGCCUAGAUUUCCAGUAGAAUAGUUGAGCCAAUUUCCAGCUCAAUAGAGAUCGAUAGAAAUCUAGAUUUCCAAUUUGGGCUAAGUAGGAGCAGUCUUGGACUCAACUAGUCCCACCAAGGUAACAGAAUGAAAAUCCUUUAUCUUGAUUCUCUCGGAUGGGUCUCUCCCAGGAGAGUUCAAGGAGUUUCUCCCCUACAAGGAGUUCUCAAGUAUUUACCCCUAAGUUAGGACAGUUUCAGGGUUCCCUACAUCAGUAAUGCAUACUCUUAUAUUUGAAGAUGAACUGAUAAGAAUUUCACCUCCUCCCUCUUGUUCCACACACAGUUAAACUUAGUUAACAAUUUUAGAUUUUUCCUAAGAGACAAAUAGUCUUUGCUAUAAUUUCCUUUUAAUUUUCUAGCAAAGGUGAAAAUACCUAAUUCUCAAAAUUAUAUUUAUAAAACAUAAAAUGGGAUUAUCGAAGUUUUACUUUCUUUUAGUAGUUUCAUUUAUUUUGUCUCCAAGCUAUUGAAUUUUGGAAGGUCUCAUGGAGGAUUUCCAUUCCCUUAAACUUUUUAAACCUUUUGUUUUUGGUAGAAAACAAGACAAUUUUUAAAAAUUGAGAUACAACAGAUUUUAAAAUUGACUUAACUUUAGUUCAUGAGAUUCCCUAAAUUCCAAUUACGUGUUCCAGACAAACGGAAUUGUCUUUUGGAAAUUUUUCAGUUCACACAAAUCAUUUCUCUGUGGGCCAGAAAAAGGUCAAGGUGCCAUUUUUUUUUUUUAAACUGACAGGGCCCUCAAAAGUCUGACUAUAAUGCAAAAAUAGGCUGUUUGUUGUCAAGAGUUUUUAAAGUAGCAGCAAACUGCUUUUGUUUUCCUAAAGUUUCCUAAAACUCCCUUAAAUCUUUUGUAAACAGUGCAAAUAGAUUACAAUUUACGUAUCCCUUUAGUGGGCUUUAAUUAAAACUCCUUUAAAAUUGCUUCUGUCAUAUCUCAAAUAACAAACUUCACUAAAUUAUGUAUAUUUUCUUUCUCUCCUCACUCUUUUGUUCAUGUUAUCCCUGUUUCAGUCAGGGAAGGAGGGAAGGGGAAAAAAAAAGAAAAACUCUUUCCUCUAUGCACUAUUCUCCUAGUCCUAGGGAGGCACAAAUUUAGUUGAAUUUGCUUAAUUUAGUUUACACACACACACACAAAUCAUUUAUAUCAACAUUGCCAUUGUAUGUUGUCACAUCUAAAAACCCAUGUAAAGUUAACAAAUAUGAAGCAAUUAUAUCCAAUAAAGAAGUUAACAUUCAUAUAGGAUGUUUUAUGCUAAACACUUUUGCAAUCAUGUGAUCUUCAUGAUAACAAUCUAUUAUUUCUCUUUACAAAUCAGAAAACUGAGCAGAGAUAAAAUGAUUUGCCAUAAAUUACAUAACACAUUUCUGCAACUGAAACAGAAAAUGGUGGACUUACCAAAUGCAGAGGCUGACUGGCUUUUUCACUUCACACUGCCAUAUUGAGUGCUGCCAGAGGCACCCCGAUUCUUCCCAGCCAGUUGUUUGACAGAACCUGCUGAAGGCUGGGUGACUAGUGCCUCGAUCUCCCUUUGAUGGUAGUUUUGGGUGCCAGAGCUCAGGGAAUGCUGACCACUGGACCUGACCUCUACUCUAUCCUCAUUCCCCCAAGUUGGGUUGGGGAGGUAUUUGGACAAGGUUGUAUGGGUCCCCAUUGCUGUUGCUGCUUUCCCCAUUUCUACAGGUGAGGCAGAAUUUGAGUUUCCCUACAGUAUUUUAGCAUUCUCUUAAUCUGAUCUGAGAUGAAAGGAGUUAGCAAACAGAGGGACUUGGGCUAUAUUGAUCUUGUUAGCAAUCCCCACAACUGAGAUACACUCAGGACUCUGGGAAGUGGAGCAUGCUGAAUGAUCAGGGUUGUGGAGAGGGCCCCUUAUUUCUGGAAUGAUUUCCCCAUGAAAUAGAGGACUCCAGACAAGAUGGAACUCAAAGAGGAAUUACCAAAAAGUUGCUAUUUUCCUAGUUGUUUUUUGUUGUUGUUGCGGUCUUAGAAUGGCUAGUCAGAUUUCUCAAUCAUUUCUCUCAAAACCUUGAGAAUCUGCUGAGAUGUCAUUUUUUGCAGUUCUAUAAUUUUAAUUAGCUAACUUUAUUUCUGUAGCUCCCACAUUGAUCAGAAAUGGGGUCCACAGGAAAAAGUCAGACUUUUUCCCUUUUUAGGGUGGGAAUCGGAGAUGUUAAGAAAUCUUUCCAAGUAACAAAAUUUAACUCACAACAAAGACCAGCAGACAUUCUGCACAGAGACAGAAAUACAGGCAAAAGUGACAUGGAAGAGGAUUGUUCCAGCUUUGCCAAAAGCCAUAAACUAGAAAAAUAAAAACUCGGUUAUUAACAUUGUGCAAAGAUAAACCAGUCUUUAAAACAAUAGAAGCAAUUGAUCUUAAAGGAAUCUCAUUUAGCCAGGGGGGGUCCAGGACAGGGGUUGUUCCUACAUUAUUAAGCACAUUAAACAGCAUAUUUGCUAUUUGAAAAAAAUUGUCAUUCUUGAGCAGUAUACAGUGCAGCAAUAAUUCCAUAUAACUCAUUCUGCUGUGUAGAUUCAAACGGGGUGUUAAAAACAUAUUUAGAAGUAGGUAGAAUAUAUGUAAAGAGGUUUGUUAGCAUCUGUAAAUACCAUCAGCUGCUGCUGAUAGUUUGCAGCUGAUCCUCAGCUUCUUUAGUUGAAUAAUUUUGUCAAUUAUGUUUUCCCAAAUUCAAAUACAGUCUUAUCCAGUUAAUAACCCAAGGUGGUUUUUUUGUUUUUUAAUAUUUUCCUACUCUUUUGUAAGGUAUUAGUAACUCCUAUCCUUUCCAACCUUUUUGUUAAAAUAUCCUGAUGAGGAACAGGAUAGCAAAGAAUCCAUAUUUUCCCGGAAGAAUCAGAAUCUACUACUCCAGGCAUAACCAUAAGCCUUAGUAAUGACUGUGAACUGCAUCCUCACAGAAGACCUAGCAUCCCAGAGGAGGACCCGAGACUGCAGGGGUGAGAGAACAUAUUCCCAUAUUGUCAAUAAUUUGAUGUGACACAGAGGGGGACAAACCAAGGCCAGUACUUCCAGGGGUAGCAUGCAAUAAAGCUUGUACUGUCAAUAAGUUGGAUUUAAGGUAUUGUUUGCAGACAUCACGUGCAGUUCCUGUUGUUUGACUAGGUUGGACCCAAGCCCCAGAAAUGCUUUCCCAAGAUCAGAUUACCUUCCCUAUCAUUCUGAGGGGAUAUUCAGAAGUCCAAUGUCUGUCCGUUCUACAUUUUCAACAUAAAGUCAAAGGCUUAUCUUGCUGAACUGUGAUGAGGUACAACCUUUUGGGUAAUACAAUUUUCCCUCAUAUGACCCAAUUUUUCAUAAUUAUAGCAUCUACAAGAAUUAGAAAAAUCUUAAGAUCGAGAUUUGUCCUGAUGUUGUGCAGAAGCCAUUACUGCAACUUGAAAAGUAGAAGUCCCAAAGUUCUGAUACCUGGAUCAUUUUUACUAGAGAUAUUUUUGAUUUUUUUUCCCCAGACAACACUUUCUUACAAUCAGCAUUAGCAUUUUCAAGGACAGGUUGUCUCAAUAAAAUUUCAGCGGCCUCCUCAUGGUGAAUAAGCAAUUAACAAAGUCAAAGUCUCAUUGGAUCCUUGCUUGAUUUUUCAUAGGAUGUCUGUCCCUGACACCUGAUUGAUUUUGCCCUAUUCAAAUUCAAUAUGUAUGCUAUAUUGAUAUCAGCUGAACAAUAAUCAAUCUUAUAUUUUAUAUCAUAUCUUAUUAUAUCCUAAUCCUCGUAUUAGCCUGGUGAUAAAUUACUUUCACCUCUUGCUUACCGUUUUUUUUUUUUUAAUCAUUGACCUCACCAAGAGGUCACUCUCCUCUGCCAGGUCAUUCAGGUCCCUUGUUCAGCCACAGACUGUUGGAGUCCAGCUCCAAUGAAUGAGAGUGUGGAUGUGAUCGAUAUGUAAGAGCUAGAUGGAAAAUGUGGUGUGCAUUUUGCCUUUAUUAACCUGAGAGCGCGAGUUUCUAUACUCUUGCAGAUGGCAUUAUGUGCAUUCCAGAGUUAAUCUAUAGACCAUACUUCUACAUUUCAGUUUGACAUUAACGAUGUAGCUCUCAUCACAGAGCCAGAAAUAACAGCAGCUAAAUAAUGUGUUUAUCAUAACAAUGGUAAAUAGCAAACUUGUGAUGCCUUGUUCCUUCCACAUGCAUUCUUCAAAAGACUAUCAUUCAUUGUUAAGGGAGGUGGUGAGCUAGUGCUUUGAACAGUGCAUUCUUAUAGAGAGUAAUACCUGGACCAGAUUCUUCCUGUACAUGGACUUAUUCAAUACUGGCCCUCUACGAAAAACAAGUACCAGUUAAAGGAAAAUAAAAAAAAUAUAUAUAGUUAUAGAAGAAAUUAUAUUCAUGAGUAUCCAGCUUUACUUCCUUAUAAAUUGUUCUUUUAUUCUCUGCAGCUCAUCUUUUUUACUUUAUUCUUUUCCCCCCUUUCACUUUGACCCCCAAGCUACACACACACAUAUAUACACAUAUCUUUCUUACUCCUGCUGACCCUUUGCUUUAAUGCUUCUCCUAAUUUGCCUUGCUAGUAACUUCCUACCAUCCAUGGAUCCCUCCCUUGUCUUCUUCUCACAACCUUUGCUUUGUCUGCCCAUCCCUACCCCCCUAUUUCUUUGUAGAUUUAUACCUCCUAUACCCUUCAUAGUAUAAAUGUAGUAUUUUCUAUUUAACCCAUUUCCGAAGUGACAGGUUUUUAGAACUAUGAGCCCUCCUCCCCUCUCUAAUGCCUCUGUGCCUGUUCUUCCUCUGCUCCUUGUUUCUAUGAAAUAAUUACUAUUUUUAUCAACUCUGCCCCAAUCUUUCUUUUUAGCUGCCCUGUUGUUGAUCUCAAUCCUAAACAUAUUCUGUACAUUUCUCAUGUUUAAAAAAAAACAUAAUUAGUCCAUGUUAAACUCUUUGAAAUUGAUGUUUGAUAAUGGUUCUUGAUAGAAGUUUGGCUGAUAGAAAGUCCUAAAAAUCUGCAAGUUCAUUGAAUGUCCUUUUUUUUUUUUUUUUUUCUCAUUUAGUAUUAUAGAUAAUUUUGCUGGAUGUGAUAUUUUUGGCCAUAGGUCUAGUUCUUUUGAUUGUCAGUAGAUUUGAUUCUACUGCUGAUAAAUCUUGUACAAUUCUAAUUGUAGCUCCAGAAUCUUGCAAAAUGUUCUUUUUGAUCUGGGGGUUUCAAAAUUUGGCAAUAAUAUUCCUAUAUGUUAUCCACAAAGGAUCUCAUUGAGGUGGUAAUCAGUGGAUUUUUCAAUGAAUUUUUUCUAUUUCUACUUUCCCCUUGUGUUCUAUCACUCCAGGACAAUUUUUAGGGGGUUAUUUUUUGCAUUAUUGUGUCAAGAUGCUUUUUUUGGUCACAACUUUUAGGCAGUCCAAUUAUUCUUAUAUUUUCUCUUUUUGAUCUGUUUUCCAGAUCUGUUAUUUUUCUUGUUUUACAUUCUGUUCUGUUUUUUCAUACUUUAUAAUAAUCUGUUUUGUUAUUUCUUGUUCUCUUACAGCUUCACGGGGUUCCCCUUGCCCAAUUUUAAUGUUCAAAGAAUUAUUUUUGUCUUUAAGACUCUAUCUCCUUUUCUAGUUGGUUUAACUUUUUUUUCCCACAAUCAUCUUAUUUUUCUUGGAUGCUUUAAAAAAUUUCCCUCAAUGUCUCUCUUUUGAUUUUUUUAUAUCUUGCAGUUUUGGUAGAGCUACGAGUUGUUUCCAAUAGGUUUUUGGAUGAUUUUCUUGGAUUCUCUAAGUAUAUCAUCAUAUCAUUUGGAAAGAACGAUAGUUUUAUUUUCUCAUUGCCUGUUCUAAUUCCUUUAUUUUUCUUUUCUUAUUGCUAAAGCCAACAUUUCUAGUACAAUACUGAAUAAUAGUGAUGAUAAUGGACAUCCUUGUUUCAUUCCUGAUUCUUUUCCUUCCUUUCUCCCUCCCUCCCUCCCUUCCUUCUUCUUUCUUCCUUCCUCUAUUCCUCUCUUUCUUUCUUUUUAUUAUAAUUAUUUUUAAAAAUAAAAUAAAAAGCUAUAACUUUUUAUUGACAGAACCCAUGCCUGGGUAAUUUCUUUUUACAACAUUAUCUUUUGCACUCACUUCUGUUCCGACUUUUCCCUCCCCUCCCUCCCUCCACUCCCUCCCCCCCCUCCCUCCACUCCCUCCCCCAGAUGGCAAGCAAUCCUAUACAUGUUAAGUAUGUCACAGUAUAUUCUAGAUACAAUCUAUGUGUGCAGAACUGAACAGUUCUCUUGUUGCACAGGAAGAAUUGGAUUCAGAAGGUAAAAAAUAACUUGGGAAGAAAAACCAAAAUGCAAACAGUUUGCAUUCAUUUCCCAGUGUUCUUUCUUUGGGUAUAGCGCGAGUACGACUGGAGCCAGAGAAAGGCUUUAAAAUAAAACAUGUAAAGAGAAAGAGGUAAGGGCGUCAUUUUUAGUCUCGAACCUGGCUCGGUGUGGGCAGGGCUGGGGCGAGUGCACUGCUGCUGCAAUAGCGGAGGUGUGGGGAGUGGAAGCCAGUCUUCCUAAAUUCCUUAAGUGGCCCAUACAGUGACUUAUGGGGGAGGGGGAACCCUAACCCAAAAUGCCUUCCGACUCUAACACUGAAUGCAGGGAAGG